UAACGAAUCUUCCGCAAUGGGCGAAAGCCUGACGGAGCAAUGCCGCGUGUGGGAUGAAGCGCCUUCGGCGUGUAAACCACUGUCAGGGAAUGGAACCAAUGAUUAUUCCCAAAGGAAGUGGCGACUAACUCUGUGCCAGCAGUCGCGGUAAUACAGAGGCCACAAGCGUUAGUCGGAAUCAUUGGGCUUAAAGGGUGCGUAGGCGGGCCCGCAAGCGUCUUGUGAAAUCCCAUGGCUCAACCAUGGAAUUGCAGGGCGAACUGCGGGUCUUGAGGCAGGUAGGGGCCGGAAGAACAGUAGGUGGAGCGGUGAAAUGCGUAGAUAUCUACUGGAAUGCCGAUGGGGAAGCCGUCCGGCUGGGCCUGUCCUGACGCUGAGGCACGAAAGCGUGGGGAGCAAACAGGAUUAGAUACCCCGGUAGUCCCUGAGCGGGCUGGCAAGGCGCAU
rnacentral:rRNA from 1 species